rnacentral:rRNA from 1 species
UACGUAGGGGGCAAGCGUUGUCCGGAAUCAUUGGGCGUAAAGAGCGUGUAGGCGGCCAGAAAAGUCCGCUGUGAAAACUCGAGGCUCAACUUCGAGCUGUCGGUGGAAACUUUCUGGCUAGAGUACGGUAGAGGGGGAUGGAAUUCCGCGUGUAGCAGUGAAAUGCGUAGAUAUGCGGAGGAACACCGAUGGCGAAGGCAAUCCCCUGGACCUGUACUGACGCUCAUGCACGAAAGCGUGGGGAGCAAACAGG